UGUUUUUCUACUAAAAAAAGGGGAUAACGAACGACCUUCCGCAACGUCACAAAGGAAUCUUUGUAACUGUACGUCAGAUCAGAAGCAAAAAUAAGCCUGCACAUUUUCCCAACCCAUUGAGCAUUGAUCAUUCUCCUUAUUCGUAUCAAGUGGAAAAUAACCUGUCGUUCUGAACGCACGCAAAUCGUGUUCCAUGUUACCAACAUUCCUUCUCUGAGUAAGUGCAAAAUCGAAUAAAAAUAGUCGGAUCGAAGGAACUUGCUCCUUCUCCAAGCGAACGUUCUACAGGUGCAAUGACGAAACAUUCUUUACGUUCAUGAUGACCAUAUGACGAACGUACGUACUACGAAUAUGUACGUGUGAGCACAGAUACCACCGGAAGAGUCAAUUUAACGGGUUCUCUACGGUACGUUUAUUUAUAAAGUAAAAUGGAACGGCCCGGUUAAGCCUGUUAAUUGAUCGUAGAAACUUGUCAUGCACACCGUGUGCAUUAUGUAUCUGCAUAACAUGAAUUCGGUUACAAGUACAACGAUGGAAUGCAACGGGUGUCAUCAGACGCGUGAAAGAGCGUGCGUGAAUGACGAGUCUAUGUAUAUUCCAAGGUCUACACCAUGGCAAUGAAGGAGAUAUUUAUUCUUUUACGUGUACUGGAAGAUUUCGCUGUAACUAUGAAAGGAAAAUUAAGUAUUAUAAUACUUUAACAAAUAGUCUUGUUAAAAUUUUUCAAAAUAAGUCAGAAGUACAGAAGUUCCUGAAUAACAAACUCUGAUUACUGAAUGAAAUUUACAUCAACAUUUCUUUGCGCGUGUAAAGAGCAAUAUUUAUUCAAAGCAUGACAAAGGUGAAUACGGAAGAAAGGUAUGUCUGAACAAUUAUUCUGUCCACGUGUUCGGUAAUUCACCGUCUGAAUAUCAUUCGCAUUUUUUGGUAAACUACGAUUACUCUAAUAAUUCUGAAUUCCACAUGCUAAUACAAAGUUUUAGGGACACAAUGCCUAACGAGUAGUAUAUCUGCGUAAUCAAUUAAUCAAACUGCGGCAAGGCUGAAUGAAUUAAUCAGGAAUGGUUUUACUUUUUUUUAUUCUACAUGUACCAUGAAUAAUGUAGCAGCACGGACUUUGGACAGAUCUUUGCUCUUAUGUUACUUGAAAUAUGAUAAAUAAAUAAUUGUGCAGAAGAAGGAAGUGUCGGACGAAGAAAUCUCAGACGACAAGAGUUGUACCGUUAUUCAUUGCGCGUGGGAACGCAGAUAAAGAUUGUAUAAUCUCUUAGAACAGUGAACGGAGGUUUUUUAAUUAACGUUAAGUUGGUCACUGGGUGAGUACCUAUUGUGCAUCGCCGAUUCUUGACGAUAAAUCAUUACUAUUAAAUUCACAAACACGUCGAUAACCUAUUGUUAGGGAGUAUGUGUAACAUAGGCUCCCGAACCCUUGGAUUUCGUGGCUAAAAAGGGAGUUAAUUCGUGUACAGGAAGGGAGAAGAACUUUUAGGGUGAUGGUGGACAACACGAUGCUUCGGUUUACAAGCACAUGAGUCACAGGAAGUGCUGGCAGUUCGCGAUAAAGAAAUUAUUCGAAAUUAUCAUGUGUCGUCUAGGCGGGAUGUGAAUCGUUGAUCGUUAUGCUUCUGGUGAUCUUUUAGUCAAACAGAACAAAAGAGCAAGCUGCGAGAAAUCAACCGAGAAAACAAGUACAGAUUUCACUGACGUUAGAUAAACGCUAAUUGCUUUCUAAUUGAGCAAUCUGUUAUUAAUCAAUAGUGUUAUUAAUCAUGAUACGAGGUAAGACGCAUUAUGUAGUCUUUCAAAAUAACAGAGUCGAGAUAAAACACUGGAGAAAGUUUCAAAAAAUAAAAGUAAAUAUUGGUCAAUGAACCAUAACUUUGACCGUACCCAUCAACUUAUAUCUAAUCACCAAUGUCCGUGGUUGUUCAAUGAGAUAGAGUAAAAAUAUCAGGAGAUUGCUUAUCGUCGUACAAAUUCAAUGAUUAGAUAAAUGGUGCAUUCGAAACUUUCAAGAAAUGAACCUGUUACUGUGUGCCCUAACGCUUCAACAUUAUUGACCCAAGCCACGAUAUCGGGUGAGCUGCUAUUUAUUCGCGCAAAGCGUGCAAUUUGGAAGGUGAAGCUAAUCAAUUGGAAUUAAAAUUAGAUGAUCUAAACUAUAGAAACUCGUCAUUAUCACGUCCCAACCGAAUGAAUAAACCUUUAAUGGAUUUUAAAUUGCGCCAUGCGAAAAUGCGCUCGAAACUUAUUCACCGGAUAAUCGCAAAGUCGAACACGGUACGAUUUUUCUUACGUAAUCAAAGACAUAACGGUAGAAGUGAAAGCCUAGAUCAAACGCGAAAUUCUACGGGAGCAACCGUAUCAUUUUUUGUAUUUCAUGGCACACCUGGACGGUAUCAUUUCUUUCGUUAGAUAACAUGGAAAAUGACAAGUUUCAAUAAUGCAAUUGCAAAUCUGCAAUUUCCUCUGAUUUCAAAAUUAAAUCAAACUAUAAUUUAAGAUUUUGUAUCUUUUUUUUUUUCACAGAUAUUGAUCACUAAAAAUGAGGAAGUCAGUUCUCAAAGCUAACGUCUGUGUUUGCUUUCUGUCGUUUCUUAGAAACAGGUGAACAGAUGGGUCAAUUUUGUUUACUAAACUAGACUAAAUAUGAAGGAUAAUAGAAAAAUAAUAAGCUUUCUAACUAACGGGCUCGACAAGCCUCCUCCUUGGUCUUUUCAGGGAUAAUACUUUGAAACUAAUAUAACCACCGUUAAUAUAACGUAAUAUGAUUAGCGAUGGUAAUAUGAUACGUAUGCCAAUCGAUCGAGAUUAUUAAGCACGCAAAUGUUCUUUGAACAUACGCGGAUCGUUGCGGUGUUUUGUCGCGUCCCAUAUACGUGACACCAUUCUGCCAGAUUCAAAGUCCAUACAACAAAGGCUCUUUAUGCAUUCUUCAACAAUGAUAAAUAUUCCAGGACACUUUUUGUCUCGCUGAUAUUUCCUCGAAGAACAAGAGGAUGAUUUAAUCUUUGUUUCUGUUAUAAUGCAACUGCGAGCUUAAAUCAUUCUCUGUUUUGUACAACUAUUUUUGAAUAGAGUACGAGGGUUAAUGCGCUAUUCGUAGCGCAAACGUGUGUUUAAAUUGGGCUCUGUAGUUGUAUCCGAUCCAAAACGAUCCAUUUUCGUUGUUUAAGAAAGUUUUUUAAAUAAUAAAUGAAUCUUACCUAAUUUAAAUUAGAUUCUUACGCAUUGUUAAAUUACUGAGCACGGAAUAUCACUCUCACGAAAGGGGUCCUUUGUUUCAGGAUAAUCCCGAAUGUCAGGCUUUGUUUCAUCGAUAAUUUGAACAAAGAGGAGAAAGCCUUAGGAUCUACCAGCUUGGUGGAAUACCAAACUGGUCACGUCGCAAUCCGACUCAUUUCGCGAUUGUUCUUCAUUUACUGUCUCCACAAUGUCAUUUAUAAUGGUAUAUCUUAUGGACAAUCAAUGACGACAGAAACCUCGAUCAAAGUCCGUGGAAUUGUCAUCUAAUUUCGUUCAGAACAAUAAGUUUCACUUUUCGUAGAUAAAUCCGUAGAUAGAGCACGGAUUUGUUAUUCUUGGAAAUUUCAAUACAGACAAAAUCUAUGGUUUUGUAUAUAAUUAUAACGUAUUAUGAUGAUCAAUAAUAAAAGAGAUUUGUAUCUA